AAUCGUAGCAAUCCGGUGGCGAGUUUUGUUUUGGCGCGUGUAUGUGAAAUUUGUCGCAGUUAUUUUUGUUUGUAUAUUUCCACUGUUUCUGAAUUCAGAAAUGCUUUGAGCUCUAUAUAAGUAGAAGAAGCCAUUGUCCGGCGAUAAUUUGAUGAAAAACAAGAAAACAUCGACCCAUGCAACAAAGCUUCCAAGGAAAUGUCCACACGGUACGGGCUCUGAUGGAAUAUCAUCCCGGACAUCGUAUCCAGAUCCGGAUCCCGGACACGCUUUGAGGUGGUGGCACACGAGUCAAGUGGACCCGUACGAUUCCAGAAAACCUAAUCAAAUUGGCCAGAAAACUCAUUAACGGUCACAACCCAGCACCACAACAAUCGCACCGAAAAGCCGACAACAACUUGGUGGUAAAACUCGACGAAGUACAGCAAGGACAAACUCCUUUAUCCGACCGGAAAAACACCGGAGCAGUACCAGAGCUAAAUCCACACUGGGUCGGAACAACCAGCACCACUUCGUCAAUAGCAGCAGCAGUAAACAUUACUCUGGCCCUGCAAUAUAAGUACUCCGGGAAAAAAAGUGUCGCAGUAAAAACGGAUCCCACCACUUCCGACAUGCUAUCCAUUCUGGACCAGUGGAAACGGCAGAACGAAAUUAUGUGGCUGAAACGGCUCUAACACGAAUAAAAAACUUUGCAGACACGGCUUCUGCGGCCAUCGUCAUCAUCAGAUUCCCGAACCAAUGGUUCGGAACCAUGUGAGCCUGGUCAGGAUCCGUAUGUCGGAAUCAGAAACGGAAGAUUUUAUUUUCCAGAAAUGACUAUGCCAAAAAGCAGAAACAAAUGAAAAUUUAUGAACAUUUUGAACUGCUCAGUAAGAGUAGGUACUCUCGAUGAACUGCUGGCAUUCGAUACAACAGUUGCGGCCAGACCUCUUGAGCCACUUUUUCCAAUCGAUCCACACACACAAUAACAAGCUCCUCCCGUUAAUGUAGACAUUACUUAUUCCAAUCCACUACCGACUAACAUUUCCACUGCUACCACACAACCCACCUACAGCGUUACCGUUCCUCCACAACACAUCAAGCACAGCGUGGUAGAAAUAUUCCGGCCCCAACAACGGGUUUCAUUCCCUCGGUGCUUGUGCCAACAAUUUCAGUUCCAUCGCACCAGGAAUGUUUGCCCAAAAUAUCGUAGCAGCUGCUGCCUACACCUCUUCUUCUGCGGAAAAAGAAGGGGAAGAUAGUGACGACGUGUCGAUAGUGUUAUGCGAAGCAAAUAGCUCCACAACAUUGCUGCGAACCAUCCGGUUACGCCGGAACUGUUGAUCGUGGAGAAAAACAACAAGAGUUGCACUUGGAGUGCGAUCGAUUUUGCUGACGACGAACCGAAUAAAGUCACCUUUCUACACUCUAUCGAAUAUUCUGGUUUACCGCAAUAAUCUGCACUUCCUAGGUCCCACCCAAGAAAGAGCCAUAGGUAGAUUCCUGAAAUUUCCUAAUUUUCACCACCCCCACCAACUAGAAGAGCAAAUUGCAUUAAAAAAAGGAAACCCAGCGCCCACAACCAAUGAUGAGCCGUCGUCUGGUAUUGUAAACGGCUCGGAAACCGAAUCUGGAGGGAACCGUACUCAACAGCUUUCAACUACCAUUACUGGUCACUGGUCGCCGCUGCUAGUACUUAGUACUGCUGGUGGUUCGAACAGCUUACGCCCACAAAAAUAAUAUCAACCAUUCAUCUGUAGUUCUACCCCGCAACAGCAACAACAAAGUCAGUCAUCAAGAGUCGGUCACCAAUAGUGAAUGUCAUCGCAAUUUUCGUGUCGUCUGAGUAGCCGUUCUUAAGCAAUCUGGUUUCGGCUGACCAGCGUCAUUUUAACCAACUGUUCGUUAUUCUGAGAUGGCCCCACGAGCUGCCCUCCGACUCUGUUUAAAUCUCAACUUGUCCGUGUUCAUUUGUCUUUUAAGGUUGACAAAAGGAGUAGGUGCAACAUGGAGAACAGUAGCCUCAAUGAGUCCAUGAGUAGCAUGGGCAAAUCUCAGGUCGAUAGCAGCGGCCAGUCGCUAGGUUCGAAAAAAUAUUUUUAUUCACCGGUUGGUUACGAGUCGAUCCGAGACCUGGUUUCGGAAUUUUCAGUUGAACCAAAGCUGCAACAGUCCCAUAGGAGCAACAACGGUUCGAAGAGGCCCCCGUGUUGGAGGAGAUGGAGGUGCAUUUUCUCCUUCAAUAUCUACAAAUCACAGGAGGACUUCUUUAAUGAACGUCCUGCUUUGAAAACUGUGAAAUGUUCAACGAUGACGAUUCGCCGGUGGGCACAGUUGUUCAUAGAAUGUGCCAGCAUUUGGUGAGGCGUUGGGCUGAACUGACCGAGAAGCCGGCCACGCAAUAACCACAACGACAGCGAUCAUCAUGACAGCAGGAUUAACAACACUCCGGAUACUCAUCUUGAUGCCAGCAGUUAGCGUCAACCGUUUCAAUUAGUUUACCAGAAGUUAGUUUAAACAGUUUGACAUUAACAAUGAAUUGUUAAAUUGAAACUCGGUAAAAUAGUAGAAAACCAAAAUGACCUCCUAGUGGAAAUAACAGGUUGAUUUAAUAGGUCAUGUAAAAAACUAUAGACAAACAGGAUUGUAGCAUUGAGACUGCGUUAGAAAAUUCCCAAAAUGAAUGUUCACUCGGUCCUAAAAGGUUCAAUUUAGUUUGAAAAUUUCAAACGUUAAAUCAGGAAAAGUUGUUAUUACUUUCUAUUAUUUUAUUAUAAUUAUACAACUAUGUUUAAUACUGUAUGAUUGAAGGCAUAAA